AUCGAUGAAGAACGCAGCGAAAUGCGAUAAGUAAUGUGAAUUGCAGAAUUCAGUGAAUCAUCGAAUCUUUGAACGCACCUUGCGCCUUCUGGCUAUUCCAGAGGGCAUGCCUGUUUGAGUAUCAUGAACACCUCAACUCUCAUGGUUUUGCCGUGAUGAGCUUGGACUUUGGAGGUCUUGCUGGCCUGUGGUCAGCUCCUCUCAAACGAAUCAGCUUGCCAGUGUUUGGUGGCGUCACAGGUGUGAUAACUAUCUACGCUUGUGGCUUCCGCYGGGUAACCUUCAGUGAUGGAGGUUCGCUGGAGCUCAUAAACGUCUCUCCUCAGUGAGGACAGCUUCUUGAAUGUUUGAUCUCAAAUCAGGUAGGGCUACCCGCUGAACUUAAGCAUAUCAAUAAGCGGAGGAAAAGAAACUAACAAGGAUUCCCCUAGUAACUGCGAGUGAAGCGGGAAGAGCUCAAAUUUAAAAUCUGGCGUGCCUCUGGCCGUCCGAGUUGUAGUCUGGAGAAGCGUCUUCCGUGUUGGACCGUGUAUAAGUCUCUUGGAACAGGGCGUCAUAGAGGGUGAGAAUCCCGUCUUUGACACGGACUGCCAAUGCUUUGUGAUGCGCUCUCAAAGAGUCGAGUUGUUUGGGAAUGCAGCUCAAAAUGGGUGGUAAAUUCCAUCUAAAGCUAAAUAUAGGCGAGAGACCGAUAGCGAACAAGUACCGUGAGGGAAAGAUGAAAAGCACUUUGGAAAGAGAGUUAAACAGUACGUGAAAUUGCUGAAAGGGAAACGCUUGAAGUCAGUCAUGUCUGCCAGGACUCAGCCUUGCUUCUGCUUGGUGUACUUUCUGGUUUGAUGGGCCAACAUCAAUUUCGACCGUUGGAGAAAGGCUUUGGGAAUGUGGCACCUUCGGGUGUGUUAUAGCCCUUUGUUGUAUACAACGGUUGGGAUUGAGGACCGCAGCACGCCUUCAUGGCCGGGGUUCGCCCACGUACGUGCUUAGGAUGUUGGCAUAAUGGCUUUAAGCGACCCGUCUUGAAACACGG
rnacentral:rRNA from 1 species